AUCGGCCACCAUAUCUCUUAAGUUGUAUCUUUCUGUUGUUUAUCCAUUUGUUUGAUUUUGGUAUUGGGAGCUCGCUGUGUGCCUGGCACUGAUCUUUGCAUUUUGACUACCGUGUAGUAAUAUUUCAUCUACGAAUGGCUUGUAAGUAAAGUUGGUAACAUAGAGCUAAUGGCACUGGGAAAGUUAAUAGUUUUGCUAAUUGGUGGCCAUCAAUAUGCAGAGAGAAUGCUAAAGAAGAAGUUCAAAGUCCUUCAAAGUGCUUCUUUGUUUCUUGAAACAAAUAGUCUUUUUUUAGUUUGUUUGUUUGUUUGUUUGUUUUUUCCCUUAAAGUCUUUGUCCUAAAGCAGUUGGCCUUGGCUAAGAUGAUGCUGUUUUCAUGACAAAGGAAAUGAGAGUACCUUAUAAUAAGAUAAUCUUCAGUCAUCAGGUGCUUGAAUAUUUAUUACAUGCCAGAUACUGUGCUAGAAGUAAAUACGCUCUUGAAAAAUAUAUAGGUCUUAUUCACAGGGACUUCCUGGGAUUCCUGGAUUACCACUGGGGCCAGGCCAGGACUUGCUGUCUCACCAAAGAUUCCUGUGGAAAAUUCGCAUUUCCUUGGAACAUUUGAGUUUUAUUUUGCUUCCUGAAAACAGUCCAGUGAUUCAGAGCUUCCCAUUUACAGAGCUAUCUUUGGAAUUGAUAGGAUGGUCUCAAUAAAAGUGAAAGAAUCUAAUGUGA